rnacentral:tRNA from 1 species
GCCAGCAUGGUGUAGUGGUUUGAGUGUUGGACUACCAUUCUGGAGACCUGGGUUUGAUCCCCCACUCUGCCA